UGGGGAAUAUUGGACAAUGGGCGCAAGCCUGAUCCAGCCAUGCCGCGUGAGUGAUGAAGGCCCUAGGGUUGUAAAGCUCUUUCACCGGGGAAGAUAAUGACGGUAACCGGAGAAGAAGCCCCGGCUAACUUCGUGCCAGCAGCCGCGGUAAUACGAAGGGGGCUAGCGUUGUUCGGAUUUACUGGGCGUAAAGCGCACGUAGGCGGACUUUUAAGUCAGGGGUGAAAUCCCGGGGCUCAACCCCGGAACUGCCUUUGAUACUGGAAGUCUUGAGUAUGGUAGAGGUGAGUGGAAUUCCGAGUGUAGAGGUGAAAUUCGUAGAUAUUCGGAGGAACACCAGUGGCGAAGGCGGCUCACUGGACCAUUACUGACGCUGAGGUGCGAAAGCGUGGGGAGCAAACAGG
rnacentral:rRNA from 1 species